rnacentral:rRNA from 1 species
AUGAACGCUGGCGGCGUGCCUAACACAUGCAAGUCGAACGGAGUCCAGCCUUUAAGACCUUCGGGUCAAAGAGGGGAAGACUGAGUGGCGGACGGGUGAGUAACACGUGGGCAACCUGGCUCAUAGAGGGGGAUAACAGAGAGAAAUUUCUGCUAAUACCGCAUAAGCACACACUGCCGCAUGGCAGAGGGUGAAAAGAGAAUCGCUAUGAGAUGGACCCGCGUCUGAUUAGCCAGUUGGCAGGGUAAGAGCCUACCAAAGCGACGAUCAGUAGCCGAUCUGAGAGGAUGAACGGCCACAUUGGGACUGAGACACGGCCCAAACUCCUACGGGAGGCAGCAGUGGGGGAUAUUGCAAAAUGGGGGGAACCCUGAUGCAGCGACGCCGCGUGAGUGAAGAAGUAUUUCGGUAUGUAAAGCUCUAUCAGCAGGGAAGAUAAUGACAGUACCUGAAUAAGAAGCCCCGGCUAACUACGUG